rnacentral:rRNA from 1 species
GAUCAUGGCUCAGAUUGAACGCUGGCGGCAGGCCUAACACAUGCAAGUCGAACGGUAACAGGAAGAAGCUUGCUUCUUUGCUGACGAGUGGCGGACGGGUGAGUAAUGUCUGGGAAACUGCCUGAUGGAGGGGGAUAACUACUGGAAACGGUAGCUAAUACCGCAUAACGUCGCAAGACCAAAGAGGGGGACCUUCGGGCCGUCUUGCCAUCGGAUGUGCCCAGAUGGGAUUAGCUUGUUUGGG